GAUGAACGCUGGCGGCGUGCCUAAUACAUGCAAGUCGAGCGAAUGGAUUAAGAGCUUGCUCUUAUGAAGUUAGCGGCGGACGGGUGAGUAACACGUGGGUAACCUGCCCAUAAGACUAGGAUAACUCCGGGAAACCGGGGCUAAUACCGGAUAACAUUUUGAACCGCAUGGUUCGAAAUUGAAAGGCGGCUUCGGCUGUCCCUUAUGGAUGGACCCGCGGCGCAUUAGCUAGUUGGUGAGGUAACGGCGCACCAAGGCAACGAUGCGUAGCCAACCUGAGAGGGUGAUCGGCCACACCGGGACUGAGACACGGCCCAGACUCCUACGGGAGGCAGCAGUAGGGAAUCUUCCGCAAUGGACGAAAGUCUGACGGAGCAACGCCGCGUGAGUGAUGAAGGCUUUCGGGUCGUAAAACUCUGUUGUUAGGGAAGAACAAGUGCUAGUUGAAUAAGCUGACACCUUGACGGUACCUAACCAGAAAGCCACGGCUAACUACGUGCCAGCCGCCGCGGUAA
rnacentral:rRNA from 1 species